CUGCGGCCAUUAGGGCCGGGCAGAGACUGAUACACGGGCGUGGCACAGGGGCUCUACAGCGCCCCCUGGAAUAUGGAGGGCCAUAUAUCAUACAUACUUGCACGUAGACGUAUGAAACUCGGUACACAUAUAGAUCUCAUCAAGCCAAACAACUUUCGUACUGCAUGUCAUAGGCUCCGCCCAACAGGAAGUGAGCUAUUUAGGGUUUAGUAUUCUUAUUUUUCGUCAAAGUUGUGGGGGCUUUUGGGGCCCUUAACAUGCUCAAAAACUCUUGAAAAUUUGCACACACCUUAGAAUCUGUGGCCAUUAGGAGGCUGCAGAGGCUGAGACCCGGGCGUGGCACAGGGGCUCUACGGCGCCCCCUGGAACACAGUCAGAAAUGUUGAUGUAUAGUUCAAACAUACUUGCACGUAUUCAUAUGAAACUCAGUACACAUAUAGAUCGCAUUGUGCCGAACAACUUUCGUAUUGCAUGUCAUAGGCUCCGCCCAACAGGAAGUCAGCUAUUUAGAGCUAUGUAAAAAGUGCAUGCUCUGGAAUUUGAUAUACUUGUCAUAGGUUUUUUACCCGAUUGCCACCAAACUUGGUCAACAUGAUCUCAAGACAUUGGGGAUGCAAAAUUGCCAGGGGAUUUUUGAUAUCUCGAAUGGUUUGCUCGUGGCGAGGCGUUGAAAUUAUGGCAAGAAAUGAGAAACAGGAAGUGUCUAAUAACAUCCACAUAAAUUUCCCGAUUUUAAUUACACUUCAUCAGUUUGUUCGUUGUAUGAUGCCGAUCGCAUAUAUGUGACUAUUAGGAGUCAAAGUUAUAGCGCCACCAACUGGCAGCAGGAAGUGUGUCAUUUUCAAAAUGCUUUGAAUUCAGCAUCUUCUUUUUACUCAAUUUGCUUCAAACUUCAUCAGAAUAAUGACAAAACACGGCCCAUGUAAAACUGUUGAGGGGAUAUUGAUAUCUAAUAUAGUGUUGCCAUGGCAACAUAUCAAACUGGAAUAUUUUUCUGUAUAAUAUAUUCUGAUUUUGAG
ensembl:lncRNA